rnacentral:rRNA from 1 species
UGGCUUAGAAGCAGCCAUCAUUUAAAGAAAGCGUAAUAGCUCACUGGUCGAGUCGGCCUGCGCGGAAGAUGUAACGGGGCUAAACCAUGCACCGAAGCUGCGGCAGCGACGUUUAGGCGUUGUUGGGUAGGGGAGCGUUCUGUAAGCCGUUGAAGGUGGCCUGUGAGGGUUGCUGGAGGUAUCAGAAGUGCGAAUGCUGACAUAAGUAACGAUAAAGCGGGUGAAAAGCCCGCUCGCCGGAAGACCAAGGGUUCCUGUCCAACGUUAAUCGGGGCAGGGUGAGUCGACCCCUAAGGCGAGGCUGAAAAGCGUAGUCGAUGGGAAACAGGUUAAUAUUCCUGUACUUGGUGUUACUGCGAAGGGGGGACGGAGAAGGCUAGGCUAGCCGGGCGACGGUUGUCCCGGUUUAAGCGUGUAGGGGGUGUGACCUGGUAAAUCCGGUUGCAUAUCAACCCUGAGGCGUGAUGACGAUGCACUACGGUGCAGAAGUAGUUGAUGCCCUGCUUCCAGGAAAAGCCUCUAAGCUCUAGGUAACAUUAAAUCGUACCCCAAACCGACACAGGUGGUCAGGUAGAGAAUACCAAGGCGCUUGAGAGAACUCGGGUGAAGGAACUAAAUAGCUGCGCCUAAUACCGCUACACUUUUGCCUGACCAUGUUUUCCUCCGGGGAAUGGGCUGGCGGUUUCCAUAAAAUGGCGGACCUUUUUCAGUAACUGCC